AAAUGUAUUCCAAUACAUUUCUU
rnacentral:snRNA from 1 species